rnacentral:rRNA from 1 species
GACGAACGCUGGCGGCGUGCCUAAUACAUGCAAGUAGAACGCUGAAGGAGGAGCUUGCUCUUCUGGAUGAGUUGCGAACGGGUGAGUAACGCGUAGGUAACCUGCCUGGUAGCGGGGGAUAACUAUUGGAAACGAUAGCUAAUACCGCAUAACAGUAGAUGUUGCGUGACAUUUACUUAAAAGGUGCAAUUGCAUCACUACCAGAUGGACCUGCGUUGUAUUAGCUAGUUGGUGGGGUAACGGCUCACCAAGGCGACGAUACAUAGCCGACCUGAGAGGGUGAUCGGCCACACUGGGACUGAGGCACGGCCCAGACUCCUACGGGAGGCAGCAGUAGGGAAUCUUCGGCAAUAGACGGAAGUCUGACCGAGCAACGCCGCGUGAGUGAAGAAGGUUUUCGGAUCGUAAAGCUCUGUUGUAAGAGAAGAACGAGUGUGAGAGUGGAAAGUUCACACUGUGACGGUAUCUUACCAGAAAGGGACGGCUAACUACGUG